GGAGGAGCAACCAGGGAAGCGGCCUGGGCCGGAGAGGCUGCGGCACUGACCAGGGGUGGCGAACCUCUUAGAGUUUUCCGUGCUGCAAACCUCCUGCUGUAGCACGCAUGCUAUUGGUUGGCCACCACUGCCCGGGCACUCCUGCUCGGAGCCCUCCACCGCCCGCACAGAUCGCUGUAAACUCUACCUUUCCACGGCUGGGUUCCAGUAGUAACCGAGAUCAGCUGUGGCCUUCCUGUGUGCACCACUGCCUUGCAAGAGGCCUCCCGAGGGUCACCACAUGGCCACAAGCUCGUGCCCCACAUGGCCACACAGCUGGAUGCCACCUGCCGUGCAUGGGUCAUUGGCCCAGGUGCUACCAUUGCCACUUCCUGGACUGCGACGGGUCAUCUCAGGAACGUUCACAGCCGUCCUCAGGCCCAACAGGCCCAGGUGGCCGUCUCCCUUUGGUGACAGCUGCAGGUUUCUGCAGUUCGUCUAUCCUCCAUGCUCCUUCUCCAGUAUUCCAAUCAUUGGUUCUUUGGAGCCAGUUCCUCCACCUGGCCUACACACUCGCUCUGGGUGGAGACGCCGUCCUUGUGCCGCAGCUGGCGGCCUCAGUGCUCCUGAACAGGACCGAGCUCAUGCCCCGCCUCAUGAGUCUCUGUCCGUGCAUUGUUCUUGGCCGAGGUGAUACUGCCGUUAUCAUCACCUGGCAUUCAGCAGCCUCUGUUCCUCAGCCCCGACCUUCAUCAAAUCCCGAGCAGGGCAGUUGGUGUCGGAGUGAGAUGUGGGGCUUUGCCUUUGUCUGUGAGCCCCAGUGCAGGGGUGCGGCAGGUGUCAGCCAGAGGGAGAACCUGGACACAGCCAGGACGUUUGCUCCCCGUGAAUGAAGGGUGGCUGGAAGUAGUGUCCCGGUAAACACCGCAUGUGUGGAGCAGGCAGCUGGGCUCUUACAAGAUUGCAACUGAAAAGAAAGGGUACCAGGGGCCGGAUGGGGCAGGGCAUUUCCUUUGAUGCCCAAGGGAGCAACUGCUUUAAAAAUUAAGGCUCGUGCCUAGCAUUCCAGUUACCAGAGGAAGAGAUUUCCCAGUUACCAGAAGAAGCCGUGAAAAGGGCCAGGCUCCAGGCCACCCUGUCACCCCAGUGUGGGAGCCCCAUGCAAGCGGUGGCAGCAUUUAUCCCAGUGCCGGAGACCUUCCAGUGCCAGUUCCUUGACAAAGUCGGGACUGGCAGCGGGUAUCUGCAAAGCAGGGACCGCAUGAGACGGGUGUGCGGCCUCUCCCUCUACUCUCUGUUAAUCAUAGCUUUCCAGAUAUCCAUUAUGCUAUUGAUAAAGGAUGGUUGGGAACCUGAAGGAUCAGAACUGAAAGUAGUUAAGGAAUCAGACUCCAGGAUGGAAGGCACCCCUCCAGGGUUGAAAGGGGAAGUAGAAGCCACCACAGAGAUUUGCGUCAGUCCCCUACCUCCUGUGUGGCAAUGUUCGCCCACCAGAACGCGAGGGGAGCGUUGCGUGGGCCUCAGCGCGUGGGAAAACAUUUGGUGAACGCCCUGUGUUGGACUGGCUCUAGAUGGAGAUAUUGCAAAUGUGGGUUGUGUUGUCCAGUAGAGAAGUGAACAAUUCUGUGAAGAAUUACACCUAAUCAAGAACACCUAGUGACUGAUCUUUUUGCUUCCUUUUAUGUGCUUUAAAAAAAGUUGAUUCCCUGCUAGGGUUGCAGCUGGAUGGUUGGUCAACCAUGUCUGAAUCUGUAACUAAAAUAGAGACCUCACUGUAUCUAAGAGUUUCAUAUGUAAUUGCAAAAGUAUGUAAUAAAGCCAAAAACAUUUCUCUGUGUCAGAGGAGCCUUGCUCCGCUGCCCCUCCAGAAGGACCU
ensembl:lincRNA